AACGCAGAGACAGGUGCUGCAUGGCUGUCGUCAGCUCGUGUUGUGAAAUGUUGGGUUAAGUCCCGUAACGAGCGCAACCCUUGUCCUUAUUUGCCAGCGCGUAAUGGCGGGAACUCUAAGGAGACUGCCGGUGACAAACCGGAGGAAGGUGGGGACGACGUCAAGUCAUCAUGGCCCUUACGAGUAGGGCUACACACGUGCUACAAUGGUCGGUACAAAGGGUUGCCAACUCGCGAGAGUGAGCCAAUCCCGAAAAGCCGAUCUCAGUCCGGAUCGGAGUCUGCAACUCGACUCCGUGAAGUCGGAAUCGCUAGUAAUCGUGGAUCAGAAUGCCACGGUGAAUACGUUCCCGGGCCUUGUACACACCGCCCGUCACACCAUGGGAGUGGACUGCACCAGAAGUGGUUAGCCUAACGCAAGAGGGCGAUCACCACGGUGUGGUUCAUGACUGGGGUGAAGUCGUAACAAGGUAGCCGUAGGGGAACCUGCGGCUGGAUCACCUCCUUA
rnacentral:rRNA from 1 species